CGAACGCUGGCGGCGUGGAUAAGACAUGCAAGUCGAGCGCUGAUCACAGGGUAGCAAUAUUCUGUGGUCGGAGCGGCGCAAGGGUGCGUAACACGUGGGUAAUUUGCCGUAAAGUUGGGGAUAACUCCGAGAAAUCGGAGCUAAUACCGAAUAUGGUAGCUGGAAGGCAUCUUCUGGCUCCUAAAGUUGGGGACCGCAAGGCCUGACGCUUUACGAUAAGCCCGCGGCCUAUCAGGUAGUUGGCGGAGUAACAGCCCACCAAGCCUAAGACGGGUAGCUGGUCUGAGAGGACGACCAGCCACACUGGAACUGAGACACGGUCCAGACACCUACGGGUGGCAGCAGUCGAGAAUUUUUCACAAUGGGCGCAAGCCUGAUGGAGCGACGCCGCGUGGGGGAUGAAUGGCUUCGGCCCGUAAACCCCUGUCAUUCGGGAUCAAUGCGUUUGGAUGAAUAUUCCAGACGUUGAUAGUACCGGAAGAGGAAGGGACGGCUAACUCUGUGCCAGCAGCCGCGGUAAUACAGAGGUCCCAAGCGUUGUUCGGAUUUACUGGGCGUAAAGGGUGCGUAGGCGGUCGGGUAAGUCUGGUGUGAAAUUUCGGAGCUCAACUCCGAAACUGCAUUGGAAACUAUCCGGCUAGAGGUUGGGAAGGGAGACUGGAAUUCUCGGUGUAGCAGUGAAAUGCGUAGAUAUCGAGAGGAACACCAGUGGCGAAGGCGAGUCUCUGGACCAAUCCUGACGCUGAGGCACGAAAGCCAGGGGAGCAAACGGGAUUAGAUACCCCGGUAGUCCUGGCCCUAAACGGUGCAUGUUUGCUGUAAGAGGAAUCGACCCCUCUUGUGGCGGAGCUAACGCGUUAAACGUGCCGCCUGGGGAGUACGGGUCGCAGAACUAAACUCAAAG
rnacentral:rRNA from 1 species